rnacentral:lncRNA from 1 species
GGGGCUUGGAGCAACCUGGGAUGGUGGAAGGUGUCCCUGCCCAUGGCAGGGGGUGGAAUGAGAUGAUCUUCAAGGUCCCUUCCAACACAAACCAUUCCUUGACUCCAUGCCUCUGUGACAUAGGACCAGUUGGACACAUCCUGGAAGGACCACACAGAGCUUUUGAAGGAACAGGGGGAGGCUCAGAGUUCUGUCUGCAGUCCUUGUCUCCCCAAAGGCUGCUUUUGUUUUGCUGCCUCAGACCAAGUGGCUUCUGUGCUUGUUGUCACCCUCAGAAACAGCAAAUAUUCUCCAAAACACCCUCCCAAGGAUUUGCUAAAUCUGGAGUAGGAACACAGAGAAAAGGGAGUCCACUCCUGCCAGUUUGGAGCCCACCAGGAUGCCUUUGGCAAAGGAGCAAGAGCUGCAGCCAGGAAAAGCUCCUGGCUCCCUGCAGUGCCAAGCUGAAACGUUUUCAAGCUUGAUCUUCUUCAAUUGAUUUGCUUUGUUAAGCCAAGUGGUGGGAUUGUAAGAGAGAAAAAUUCCUAAUGAGAGUGAGGAAAAUGGAACACACUAAAAAUUCUGGAAUGAAAAGAAGAAAGUUGAUUGAUGACCCCCAGAGAAAUACUUGGCUUAGAAACUUACUUAAAUAUCACUGAAUAAAUCUUUAUGUUUGUUAUUAGA